rnacentral:rRNA from 1 species
AAUAUCGCGAUCGCAAAAGCCGAUGAAAUACGGAGGGGGCUAGAUGUAAUGUUGAGUGCUGGGCGUGAAGCGGAUGGUGGUGUCUCAUUUAGUUCCAUGUGCAAACCCCGGGCUUGACCCGGGAACUGCAGGUGAUAAUGGUGGUGGGAGAAUAUGUGAGAGGGAAGUAGAAUUCCAGGUGUAGCGGUGAAAUGCGUAGAAAUCUGGAGGAAUACCGAUGGCGAAGGCAGCUUCCUGGCAUAAUAUUGACACUGAGAUUCGAAAGCGUGGGUAGCAAACAGGAUUAGAUACCCUGGUAGUC